AUCCUAAUGACGAGUCCCCAAAAAGACGAAACGCGCGUCCUGGAU
rfam:Schistosoma rodhaini strain Burundi genome assembly, scaffold: SROB_scaffold0003463